rnacentral:tRNA from 1 species
AGGGCUAUAGCUCAAUGGUAGAGCUAGCAUGUAUGAGGUCUGGGUUCAAUCCCCAGUACCACCA